rnacentral:snRNA from 1 species
AGCUUUGCACGGUGGCAGUAUCAUAGCCAAUGAGGUUUAUCCGAGGCGCGAUUAUUGCUAGUUGAGAACUUUUCCCAGAGU